UACGUAGGAGGCAAGCGUUGUCCGGAAUUACUGGGCGUAAAGCGCGCGUAGGCGGUUUUGCAAGCCAGAGGUGAAAUGCCUGAGCUCAACUUAGGAAUUGCCUUUGGGACUGCGAGGCUUUGAGGACGGGAGAGGUGAGUGGAAUUCCCAGUGUAGAGGUGAAAUUCGUAGAUAUUGGGAAGAACACCGGUGGCGAAGGCGGCUCACUGGCCCGUUUCUGACGCUGUAGCGCGAAAGCGUGGGGAUCAAACAGG
rnacentral:rRNA from 1 species